GCGUCGGCAGUCCAUGCAGCAACAGCAGCUCGGCCAGCCACAGCAGCAGCGGUGCUGGUGGUGGUGGUGGCGGUGGAGGCGUUGCUGGCGGCGAUCAAGUGCUGGAGGUGGGCAUACGCAUCAAGAACAUCAACAGAGCGCGCUUCUAAAUGCAGCCGUUGGAGCAGCUAAGGGAAAUGCAACAAACGUACAACUCGAAUGUGUGAGGGAAUAUAUUGAUUUAUAUAUAUAUAUAUACAUGUAUAUUGGAAAGGAUUAGUAUUAAAAACGAAAUAUAUAAAACACACGGGGAAAGUAUUUCAAAACAUGGCUUAAGUAAAAACAAGCUCUAAAAAAUAUAACAAAAAUUUAAAAAACGAAACAAAGAUAAGAAAAAAAACACACACACCCACAAAUCCCCAACAAGCCCCACAAACGCACACAAACACACCGAGGGAACAAUGGAAAAGCAAAAGUUAUGAUUGUAGAGACAGCGCAUCGCAUAGAGGGAGACAUAAAUAUAUAUACAACUAUUUUGUAAAACGUAUACAAUAGUACGGAAUAUGCUUAACGCAUACACACACACACACACACAUACACAUACACAUACAGAGAAACAUGUAUUUGUAAAAAUAAUCACACACACACACACAGACACACCGAAACUUACACAAUCAGACUUUUACAAUCUAUGUUCGAUAGCCAUAUAUAGAAAGAAAACAAAAACAGUGCAUACAUACAUAUAUCUAUUUAUAUAUACAUGUUUAAACUUAAUCAAACAAUGUCGCCUGUCUAUAACUUAGAGGGAGACAGCAAUAAAGCUAGCAAGAGUUAACGAAAGAGAGGGAGAGAGAGGGAGAUAUGGCAACAUCUUGUAGGCAGGCAGCUGCUUUGUAUGAUUUGCAAUGUAUUUCGACUGUUAUGUAUGUAGUUAUGUACCUGUACCUGUUCAUACACCUAUGGAUAGAUUCUAGUGCGUAGAUGGAAACACUUUUAGGUGCCUUAAUUGCUUUGCUUUGAAAAUUUGUGAGUGACAUGAUUUAGGGAACGCUGCCCACAGUGCUCGGUGCUCGAUUGGGAAUUUGGCAAAAAGCACAUAUGUCUAUACGAACAUAUACAUGCAUGUGUAUAUAUGUGCGUUGGGUGCUCGCGUGUCAUUAGCUUAGGAGUCGACCAUGUUUUGUAAAAUGUGAGGCGUUAGCUAAGUCCAGCAUCGCGUGGACCUGGCCGAGCUGGGCCCAAUGCAGCUGCCUGCUCGACGUGGAGCUUAGGCCCCUCAGUUACCGACAGGCGAAAAGGAGCAGGUGCGCACAUAAAAAAUAAACCCCCUUGGCAAACAAA